UACGGAGGGGGCAAGCGUUGUUCGGAAUUACUGGGCGUAAAGGGCGCGCAGGCGGCUGCUCAAGUCAGGCGUGAAAGGCCUGGGCUCAACCCGGGAAUUGCGCUUGAGACUGGGCUGGCUUGAGUGCGGGAGAGGAUGGUGGAAUUCCCAGUGUAGAGGUGAAAUUCGUAGAUAUUGGGAAGAGCACCGGUGGCGAAGGCGGCCAUCUGGACCGCAACUGACGCUGAGGCGCGAAAGCGUGGGGAGCAAACAGG
rnacentral:rRNA from 1 species